GUUUCCGGGAGGCAGCGCCGCCUUGGCUGAGUCGACUUUGGCCCAAGCAAAGCGGCGGCUUUGUUGGUAGGCAGCAGAGGCCGCUGUGUCCCUCGUCCUUCCCUCCUCUUUGCUACUCUUUUCGAAUAAAAGUUGCCCCUUGGCCGACUCUCUUGAGCGGGUCUACGACAACUCGCUGCGGCCCACUCGCAGCAGGACAAUUUGCCACGGCCAACUUGCUGCGGAACAACUCGCCACAGGACAAGAGUUUUACACUAAUAUCGGAGAAAUAGUGGAACGCGGGUAGUCUUCUGCUUACGACCGCAAUUGAGCCCAUAAUUUCUGUUGCUAAGUGAAACCCUUGUUAAGUGAACAUUGCCCUAUUUUACGACCUUUCUUGCCACAGUUGUUAAGGGAAACACUGCAGUUAAGUGGGUAGCAUGGUUGUUAAAUGAAUCCUGCUUCCACAUUGACUUUGCUUGUUAGAAGGUCGCAAAAGUUGAUCACAGGACCCUGGGACACUGCAACUCUCAUAAAUGAGUCAGUUGCCAAGCAUCUGAAUUUUGACCACAUGAUCUUCUUGAUGCUGCAAGGGUCAUAAGUGUGAAAAUGGAUAAGUCACUUUUUUCAGGGCCGUUAUAACUUCGAACGGUCACUAAAUGAACUGUUAUAAGUUGAAGAUUACCGUAGUAUCAUUAAAGAAAAGAUGCCAAAGGAGGGACAAAAUGAAAUGUGAAUGACAACAUUUAAAACAAUUUUUAAAAUUAUUUUAAACAAUUGAAUUGAAUUGUCCUACAGUGAGUUGGCCACAGCGAGUUGUCUCAUUCAGUUCUUGAGCACCACUGAAAAUGAAGGGAGGGGAAGGUGGGACACUCCCAAGACGGCUUCCGGUCCAGAAGCCAGGGUCUUGCACAGAACAGAUCACGGCUCCUACUGUGACAAUCCAAUUGAAAUGACUGGACAUAGCAGUGCUCAGAGGAUCUGUCAUCAGGAUUUUAGACAACACAAGGUUUUGAAAUUUUAUGAUGCUUUACCUGCAAUGAGAUAUUCCUUCUUGCCACCAACAUCCAGUGUCACUCCACACACUGCUGAGGAGGGAGCUGUGAAGAUGAAUUCAAUGUCCUCUUCUGGCCCUUUAAACAUCUGAAAGGGAAAGAAGCAAGCCCAAGAGUAGAGAUCAACAACCUACCAGUUAAUAUUUUAAAAAAAAAUACAAUGGAACACACCCUUUAGAGAUUUUACAUGCACAAAUCUUUCCUCAUGCUAACCAUCACGUCAGAUAUGUUUCUGGUACAGCCUUUUCAAACUGGUACCCUCCAGAUGUGCUGUUCUCAUUCCAGAAAUCCGCGCUAGAAACUGUAAGAGCUGGCACAUUUGGAGAACAUCAAGAUGGGGAAGACAAUUCUAGUGUUUCCAAUGUUAUUCCAAGUUCUUUCCCAAACACAGUCAAAAGAGAGUGAUCAAUGUUUUCACAAUUUUCUUUAAUCCUUUGACCGGCAUGUAUAUUUUUCCUAUCUAUUUCUCCUCUUGGAGAAAUGAAUCCAUAUGCCAAUAAAAUGUUGCCACCUAUUUAUUUUUAAAAGGCCACCCAUUAACCAUUAUUACAACAAGGGGAUUCACAGAUUGUGUCAAGCCAUAAAUUGUGAUUUAGAAACUAAAGUUGUGGUUAAUGUGGUAUGUGAAUUCUAUCAUUCGAGAUGAGAUCUUAUAUCAAACUUAUUUCCAUUUGACAAAUGCUAACUUUAUGUUUAGGGAUAUUUUAAAAAUUCAUAAAGUAAUAGAUCAUUAAUAAAUCUGGCAAAUGGGAUGUUGCACUGAGACCUAUGAUCAAGUUAUUUUAGUGUAGAGGUCUGAGGUAUGGAAAAAGAGCAUUUGUUUCCAAUAGCUUCUCCAAUAGAGGGAGAAGCUUUUGCAGAUGACAUGCAGGGAAGCCAAAGUAACAUUAAUGGGCCAAUUCCAAAAAAAUUCCAGAAACAGGAAACCAAAACCGCUCUUAAAGGCUGCUUCUUCCAUACUAGUUUCAGUGUGUCUCUAGGAUACAGAAUGAUAGCUCUUCUGCUCUUCUUUCAUUAAAUCAGUGUAGGAAUAGAAUGCCAAUUCGAUCUAAUUCUAACUUAUGUCAAACCUUUGAUUCGUUUGCUUUUGAGUGGUUUUUCAAUGUUUUUACACUAUCAGCUAAGACUAGGCUUUUCUUUCCCUUCGUCUUUCUUAUUCUUUUGAUAUCCUAAGUAUUCCUGACUGGUAAACUAAUAAUAUUUCAAUUGUUCUAAACAGGGCAGCUGGAAUUCUGAAAUGAAAACAAAACAUAGAAAAUGUGUAGCAUUAAAUAGCACUAACAACAGGUUUAUAGGUUCUCUGCAGUUUCACUCUGAAUUGCUGUUGCUCUUCUUUGUGUGUAUGUGUAAGACUACACAGGCAGUCCCCAGGUUCAGAAAGUAAGGACUAUCUCCGAAUACAAACAGGCUGCCUAUUGCUAAAAAUGGCAGACGGUAGUCUUCCUUGAGCUGAUGAAGUGCUGAAUCCAUGCAAUGCUCUCAGGAACCACUGAAGCUGUGCAUUUUUAAUAUAUAAGCCUGUUUUCAGCCAUUUUCAGCAGUUCCUGAAAGCAUUUUGCAGCUUCAGCAGUUCAUCAGCUCAAGGAAGGACAAUGUCACCCCCCUUUUUUUUAGUAACAAGCUGUCCGUUUGUUAAGUACAAGUUCCGACUUCCAUACAAGUUUGAGUUAAAGACGGCGUUAGGAACAGAAGUCAUUCUUAACCUGGGGACUGUCUGUAUACACAUAGCCAAAGCUAGGGUUCUCAUGUAGCUGUUUGUUACCUUUAUCUGUUUGAUCUCAUAUUGGAUGCGUUUGAUGGGGUUUCCAUAGAUGUCAUUCCCAGAGUCCACCUCUUUUUCAGAGACAGCCUUUGCUCUGAUCACUGAAAUACAAAGAGACAAAAGAAGUUGGAAAGAUGCAAUGCCAAUGAUGAAUCCAACCAUUCCAAAGCAGAAUACAAAUAAUGUAACCAUGAGUCUCACUCUUCUUCCUUCUCCUUAUAGUACUCGGCAGCUAUUCUUACAAGCAAAACCUGGGGUUAUUAAUCCUGGGGAGAGUUUCUGUUGCAUGCUGCUAACAAAAAAGCCUUUUGCCCUUUUCUGCUCUUUCCUUUCUGCAGUUCUUUGAUUAUAGACUCCUUCAAGCUUGCAACAAUAUUUGAAAUGCCACCUUGUUCUAUUUAUUUCAGAGAUAAGGAUAAUGUCUGCAUUAUCUGCAAGCAGCCUCCAGGAACAAAGAAGAUUACUUUAACUAAAAUGUGCUGCUGUAAGAAUACUGAUACGAGAAACAGAGGUUAAUAGCUUUUCUUGUCAAAUGGAUUUGCUAUUAAAACUCAGGUCUCUUCAUCCAUAAUGAAGCCAAACACAUUGAGACUCGACUCACAUGAAAAUAUUUUGCAUUCAGACUCUUUGUACAUAAAAUCUUCAGGAUAUUGUGGAUUUGGGGUAGGAAGAAGGAGAGAGUUUGAUUUCAGUAAAGGGAAGAGGUGAAAAGCAGGAAAGAAGAUACCUUUUAUUCAAAGACUUAUCAGGCUAUCAUACUAGGCUGAGACCAAGCAAGACUGCACUCACUUCCACACUAGGACUGGUUUAUUGUGUCUUAUUUUCUUAACCAGAGUUUGUUAAAAACCACGAUUUGCUUUGUUUGCACAAGAAACUAAGCCAUUAGCAAUCUCAGUUGUGCAUAGCAGGCAUGGACUGAAAUCAGCUUGGGAUCUCCUGGUAAUAUUUAAGAGUACAGUAGUCCUCAAUUUACAACCACAAUUGAGCCUCAAAUUUCCAUUAUUAAACAAAACAGUUGUUAAGUGAAUCAUGUCUCAUUUUACAACCUUUUUGUCAUGGUUGUUAAGCAAAUCACUAGUUGUUAAAUGAAUCAUGUGGUCAUUAAGCAAAACUGGCUUCCCCCAUUGACUUUGCUUGUCAGAAGCUCCUUAGGAAGAUUGCAAACGACAACCCUGGGAUGCUGCAACUAUCAUAGACAUAUGCCAAGCACCCAAAAUUUGAUCACAUAACUGUGGAGAUGCUGCAGUGGUGAUAAGUAUGAGUACAGAGGUAACAAGUCAUUUUUUUCAGUACCGUUGUAACUUUGGUCAUUAAACAGAUGGUUGUUAUGUCAA